CGCGCACACACCGCCCGUCACUCUCCCCAAGCCAAUCACCAUCCCAUAAAUAAUUCACUAUACCGGUAAAGGGGAGGCAAGUCGUAACAUGGUAAGCGUACCGGAAGGUGCGCUUGGAGAAAU
rnacentral:rRNA from 1 species